ACCAUAGCUAAGUUGAUAAAGCAUGAGACUCUUAAUCUCAGGGUUGUGGUUUUGAGCCUCACGUUAGGUG